CAUACUGGCUGAAGGUAGGGAGAGUGGAGGAGAGCGAUGCAUGAUUAAAGUCCCCAGAGAUGAUGAUCAGAGACUGAGGGUGUGAUGUUUGUAGCUUGGACACUUCACUAUGGAGGAGUUCACAGGCUGCAGAUACGAUGAUGUUCGAAAACUCCCGCGGCAGGUAAUAUGGCCGCAAACUCACAGCCAGCAGCUCAAUGUUCUUAGAGCAGCGCUGCUCUUUAACACUGACGUGCCCAGCAUUACACCAUCUCUUGUUCACAUACACUGCUAUCCCACCUCCUUUCUUCUUACCACUCUCCCUCACACUCCGGUCCGCUCUGACGAGAUGAAAUCCGUCCAAAGUUACGAGUGGGUCUGGAGUGAAUUCCUUCAGCCAUGACUCCAUGAACAUCAUGAGGCUCCACUCCUGGUACUCCCACUGCAGCCUAGUCAGCGCUGUGAGCUCUUCCAUUUGUUGGGGAGAGACCUCACAUUUCCCAUAAUGAUGGAUGGGACAGUUAGAUUAAAACAUCUCCGCUUUGCCCGAUGCUGAACUCCGGCUCUGCAUCCUCUCCUUCUCCUGCGGAGCUUGUCCGGUCUUUCUCAUGAAGGCUUGGUACAGCGCCAACAGCUGUUAACGGCUGUAAACAUUGGAGCCGCUGAACGGGUCACCAGAUGCGGACUUAAAAACUCCAAAAAGUAGCAGAAAACAAAGUGCCACAGUCAAGAAAUGCACAUCCAUGGUUAGAAUAUGCAAAACACAACACUACCUAAUAAAAAGAAAGACAAGUGCAAAAAACAACAAUAAAAAGGCAAAAACAUAAACUCUGUGAAGAGCUGCUGUGACUUGCUGCCACUCUCAGGGCGCUUAAUGUAUUAACUAAGGUUCAGGAGCAGGAACACGCCUCACCACACCUUCAAUCACCUGACUAGCAUAUUUAUACACAGCCCGCCCACUACACUCUGUUUGUCUGCAAAUUUCUGAGGAACACAGACAGACCGUGCACGAGCCCUGUCGCUCACUCGCCUUAUAGAAACAAGUCAGCCACUCACCAUGGAACUCCAGCUGCAUGACUCAGAUGAGGAUCUGUACGAAGACCAAUCCAAGCCAGUUAUCCUUCACCAGAGAGCAGCAAUCAAACCAUAGCUACGCGUCACAGCAGAGCCGCUCGCACUCCGUGCUCCCCGAAACAUCAUCCUGACGGUUCCCAUCAGAUCCCCAGCCUCAUCCCCACCAAGUAGGUCUGUAAACCAAAGGAGCUACAAUCUCAACAACCAAAUCUGCUCUCCACCACGGUGCUCUCAUCGAUCAGCCACCGGCAAUCUAACACCACGGCGUAGCCUCGCCAAGACGGCCGUCUCCGCACUCACGACCUGAGGAUGACAUCAGCAACGAACCGUCACCCGCCUCCGUCGAUCCCUGAAGACAAGAGGCAUCCCAUCUCACCGCAGCGACAGCAAAGCAAGGCUAUUCCCACACUACAAUUCCUCCACAACACCUCAGCAACAGCGGCCGAAAAUUCCACGCUUCCCGCUUCCCCGCCAGAGCCAAUCAACGCCUGAAACGUCAUGCAUGAUGUCACUGAGCAGCUCCCUCAACUGCCACCUGCCUUAUCAGCUCCCCCUGUCGGGGAUCAGGUCGUAUCACCCCCUGUGCCAGCUCCCUCUGUGUCUGACUUCUCAAGCUAUCACAGCUUUCUUCACUUCCCUGUGUUUGCAGGCUGCACAAAAUUCCCUUGCACAUACAACCUUUCACCCCAACAUCCCUUUCUCCUCUCUUCCUUCAGCCUCAAACAGUAAUACGGCUUCUGUUCCCACUCUUCCCAUCAUAGCCAGUUCCUCGGCUCUUCAAAGAGCCCCUCCACCAAUUCAUAACCAUAGACCAUAUACAGAAUGGACACCGUCUGCCUCCUUACUGUUAUACUCUGGUGACAGGCUGCAGUAUAGGUCAUAAAUCCCGCCUCCUCCAGCAAAGCUUAUGGAGCCGUGGACGACUUUAGAAAUUUAUUACACAGAAUAUAAAUGUUUCUCCCCCCUGGUCGUGAUGUUGACAUGUAGUUACUGUCAGACUGGUUUGCACUCAAGUCCUCUUUUUCCUGUACAGCUUCAUUUUUAAAAGUUAUUAGAGGGUUCGCGUUUUCUAUGAUUGAUACUUGACACAGCCCAUGGGCGUACGAAGAUCGCGUAGCUCACCCGGGGGAUACGCCGUUUGAGCCGAGGGUCAUCACAGUGACUCUUGGCGACUCUCCCGCCGAAUGCGUACAACGCUACUGCGCAAUGUUGGUUUCAGGACAUGGAGAAAAACUACGGCAAUACAGAGAGCAAUUCCAACUCCUACACUGGCUAUCCUCAACCUCCCCCAUUCCCUGCUUUACUAUUCUGUCAACUCUCCGUCCCCUUUCCCACCCCCUCCCUUACCCAACACCCAAAUGUAUUUCCGCAUCCUGUACACAAUUACACAUUAACUACAGUUGCUUGCUCCACCUAUCCAACCAGCCUCAUCCAUUAACCAUCCUUUUUACAUCUCACUAGCACUUUGCCAACAAAUUCUCACUGGUAAUUACGUAGAACUAGCGCAGCUACUCCAUCAUCCACAACCGACCCAAGAUAACUUAAGGAAUUGCAAAACAAUUUUGGUCCAGUUCAACUCCGUGACCUACUUCCAUCCAGGUCCAAAGACCUAACACCAGUAGAAUUCACUUUAACAUUUUCACCCUUCCACAACCCAGUCCGUUUAGUUUUUCCAUCUUGCAGGUACUAUCCCCAUUACGCGCCUACCACUCACCUCCGACUUACUCAGCCUCUGCAUUUGUACCCUACAUUCAGGCUACUCAUCUCCAACGGUUGAUUCUACACUAGAAUCAAUGUUCCUGCUUGCCUUCUUCAGUUUCCUCAGAUACUCCAAAUUCGCUCCAACCUCUUCCGUCUUCAAUCCAACCUAUCAUCCCAGACUAUCAGACAUCGCAGUUCACACUUCAGAUUCUCUCAUAUUCACGCUCCGACUUAGCAAAACAGAUCAGCUCUGGAUCUCUUUUCCAGUUACCUCUUCCGCUUAAAUUCCUACCUCAGUCCAUUCGAAUCACUCAGCAAAUACAUCAGCUCCAGGUAUGCAGCUCAAGCAUCACCUCACGACCCUCUUUUCCUUACUAAAAAAGAAAAAAUUGCUACACGAUUCCAGUUCCAUAAACACCUGCAUCAAGUCCUCCUCAUGUCAGGCAUAGCAUCAGAGCACUACUCAGCCCAUUCAAACAAGAGACUGAAGAAAUCCCAUCUCAAUCUUAUUUGUUGGAUGACUGUUCCACAGCUGCAGAUCCACCUGCCAAACAACUGUUUGGGUUUUAUGUUUUAAUAUAAAAUAGACUAAUAAAUACACUCCUGAAUUUGUAUUAAAUAUUCAAACUUAUAUCGUUGUGGCGUUGUCAUUGCUAGUGAAAUGAAGUAAAUGUAUUAACUAAGGUACGGGAGCAGAACCACGCCUCACCACACCUUCAAUUACCUGACUAGCAUAUUUAUACACAGCCAGCCCAAUACACUCCGUUUGUCUGCAAUUCUCUGACCCACCCUCCCUCCCUCUCCCUUUAACAUUAACGCUUCUACUACCUCUCUACCUCCGCCUAAAUUUGAAUACACACUCCUGAAUUUGUAUUAAAUAUUCAAACUUAUAUCAUUGUCCUUCACCCUGGCCAUGGAGGUCAUCAUCCGGGCCUCUUGUUGGGUGGUUGGCAGACAGAAAAUAAAACCUGGGCUGAGGCUGCCACCAGCCAGAGCUUACAUGGAUGACCUCACAACACUCACUGUGACCAAGGUUUGCACUGUACGGCUACUAAGAAAACGCCAGGAAAACAUCUAGCUGGCUCGCAUGAAGAUCAAGUUGAGCAAGUCCAGAAGUAUCUCCAUUGUCAAGGGGAAGCUGCCACACCAGUGCUUCCAUAUUGGCGAGGAACCCAUCCCAAUGGUCUCCGAGAAGCCGGUAAAAAGCCUAGGAUGCUGGUAUGAUGCCUCCCUAAAAGGAAAAGAGCAAUUAGGGCAGCUCAGGAAGAAGGUAGCCAGCGGCCUGGAAAACAUCGACAGAACCCUGCUUCCUGGCAAGCUAAAGCUCUGGAGCAUGCAGUAUGGACUACUUCCAUGUCUCCUGUGGCCACUAACUCUCUAUGAAGUUCCGCUCUCAAAGGUGGAAAAGCUUGAGAGGCUGGUCAACGCAUACGUAAGGAAGUGGCUUGGCCUUCCCAGAUGCCUCAGCAGCAUUGCGCUCUAUGGAAAAGGUAAGUUACACUUGCCCAUUUCCAGUCUGACAGAGGAGUACAAGUGCACCAAAGUGAGAUUGGAGAUGAUGCGUCUGGAUUCAGGCGAUCAGUUUGUAGCCCAAACUGCCCCCAUCCUGGCCACUGGGAGGAAGUGGACCCCAUUGGCUGCAACUGAACAGGCAAAGGCAGUACUCAGACACAGGGACAUUGUGGGCCGAGUGCAGGAGGGGAGGAGUGGUCUGGGCCAGUACA
rnacentral:lncRNA from 1 species